CUCUCUCUCUCUCUCUCUCUCUCUCUCUCUCUCUCUCUCUCCCUCUCUCUCUGUGUGUGUGUUCACUUACACAGAUCCACACACAUCCCCAGCCUUUCCGUGUAUGGGGCAAAUCACAGAUGCCCUUUUCUCCCAGAGUUGGUUUGUUCACUAUUUAUUUUCACACGGAGGAAUCUGUCAACCAAACUUCAGGCUCAGAGCCUUGGCCUAUCAGGAGCUGUCCCUGAGAUAUCAACGGCGUUAGAACAGGACCUUGGGCCUUUCUCUUGCAGAGGGCUGGAAGAAGCCAGACACCAUCUUGUGAGGCCCUGCCAUCCUGGAUGGGUGUGUUCUAUGAAGGCCCCACUUCCGUCUGUCCCUAGGAGCCUGCUGGCCAUGGUGACUGGGGCACCGAGCUGAAAGCACUGGGAUUGUACCAGUGUUCUACUAGGGCUUGUCCAGUGCUCAGCUUUGGGACUCCGGUGAGCUACUGAAUCACUCCCUAGUGGUGUGCACACACGUCUCCAGACAUGAAGGCACACAUGUGUGCACCUCUCCCUUUCCUACAUACACAACUGCAGGUACCAUGGCAGUGUCUGUCUAGUUCUGGCCUUGCUUUUAAAAACAAGGAAGCCAAAGGCCCUGGGGAGUCAGAGAAGUCCUGAGAAUCAGAGACACAGUCUGGAUGGGAAGUCAGCUCUCUGGUCCCUGCACACACCCCAUUCCCACUCAGCAAUUCGCCUGGAGGUGUGCCAGCUCUCUGGUGUGCCCGGAUGCCCUCCUGUCCCUGCACCUGGGAUGGGACCUCUCUCAGCCCAGGCCUUCCUCUCCUCUUUUCUUCUCUGCUGUCCGCUCUUUCUAGUCCUGGCUUGGCACCAGGGAUGACUGUGUCCCUGGUGGUAGGGAUGGGGCUCCACCCGCUUUAGGCCUUUUUGGUCCCAGCCGCACUCCUCAAAGCAGCUGCAUUCCACCCCACCUUCAGAACCUCGGAGGAUCCCGCAGUCAGCUCUGCCCUCCUGGUGGACUUGCCCCCUCUGAGCCUGCCUGUUGGGGACCACAGGAGGAAGCUGACUUUGAAGGUCUUUCUUGGGGUCUCAGCUUCUCUCGGCUGCAGUAGCAGACGCAGGCAGGUCUGAUGGAUGCCCCUUCCUCCCCAGCUGCCAGGAGUGGGAAGCAUGAGGCGUCCACCUGAUGGUUCUUUCCCAACGAAGACAUCUACCUGCCAUGAGUAAAGCUCAUGGAGCGUCACGUGUGGCCAUCUCUGAGUGAGGCCGGAGAUGAAGACCAGGCUUCCUCCGUCCAAAGUGGGCGCUGAGACCAGCAUGGACUGUUCUGGAGCUCCACAGGAAACAGCUAGGGCUUGGCCAGGCAGUGUCUCAUCUCCCUCUGCUCAGUCCAGCUGGACUCCCU
rnacentral:lncRNA from 1 species